ACUGCUAUCAGAGUGGGACUAAGCCAUGCGAGUUAACGUAGCAAUACGUGGCACACGGCUCAGUAACACGUGGUCAACAUACCCAGAGGACGUGGAUAACCUCGGGAAACUGAGGAUAAACCGCGAUAGACCAUAAUGUCUGGAAUGAUUUAUGGUUCAAAUCUAUAUGGCCUCUGGAUUGGACUGCGGCCGAUCAGGCUGUUGGUGAGGUAAUGGCCCACCAAACCUGAAACCGGUACGGGCUCUGAGAGGAGAAGCCCGGAGAUGGGCACUGAGACAAGGGCCCAAGCCCUAUGGGGCGCAGCAGGCGCGAAACCUUUGCAAUAGGCGAAAGCCUGACAAGGUUACUCUGAGUGAUCUCCGCUAAGGAAACCUUUUGACACCUCUAAAAAUGGUGUAGAAUAAGGGGUGGGCAAGCCUGGUGUCAGCCGCCGCGGUAAUACCAGCACCCCGAGUGGUCGGGACGAUUAUUGGGCCUAAAGCAUCCGUAGCCGGUUCUGCAAGUCUCCCGUUAAAUCCACCUGCUUAACAGAUGGGCUGCGGGAGAUACUACAGAGCUAGGAGGCGGGAGAGGCAAGCGGUACUCAGUGGGUAGGGGUAAAAUCCGUUGAUCCAUUGAAGACCACCAGUGGCGAAGGCGGCUUGCCAGAACGCGCUCGACGGUGAGGGAUGAAAGCUUUGGAGCAAACCGGAUUAGAUACCCGGGUAGUCCCAUCUGUAAACGAUGCAGACUCGGUGAUGAAUAGAGUUAGUGUUUAUUCAGUUCAGCAGGGAAGCCGUUAAGUCUGCGGCCUGGGGAGUACGGUCCCAAGACUGAAACUUAAAGGAAUUGGCGGG
rnacentral:rRNA from 1 species